AUUCUCGUCUCCUGGCUUAUUCCGGUCUGGGGCGAGUAGGGCAAUCCUCUCCUCCAAGUCCACGACGUGCGAAAGCAGUUCGGGAAGUCCAGCGGGCGAUCGGCCACCGUUGGAUCGUACUUCGAUGCACUGAGGACGCAGUUCGCCAAGAGAUCACUGCACUCACGGCCGGAAGACAACGUACCGAUUCGCGAUGGUCAAAAUCGAGGUGCCGGACAAAGAUCCGGCUCGAAGGACCAAUGUUUUGAAGCUCCGAAUUUUCCGUCGAAACGGUCGAGGAAUUGAGACGAGCUUCCGAAAAACGCUGCUCGUUGGAGCGUGAAAAAAAACUUCGACGCGAUCGCGGAUCGGUAUUUAAUCCGUUUUUCGGGGAAUCCCUUUAAACGAUGCACAGAAGGAUCGUAGACGAUUUUAAUCCACAACGGAAUUCGAUGAAGAAGCGUUUCGUAAUAAGCCCGUGUUUACUUUUGUCACAAUGCCGACUAAGAGAGAGAGCGAGGAUUCUCGGAAUCGAUAUAUUUAUAUCUUUCGCCGUCUCGCCUCGCCCCCCUACAGGUGCCGAGCUACUCGAUCCACCCGGGGGAACCUGUGAGGGGAAGGACGAGUGGCGGGGAACCGCGAACCUCGCUCGCCCGUCGGAUAUGAUUUAUUUUAUAAACGAUUAAUAAUAGAUACAAACAAAUAUGUACAGUUAAUAGAAUAAAAUAAUUAGUUUUAGUAUAAUGUAAAUUUAGACAACAAUAAUGUAGAAGAAAAUAUAAUUAAUAAACGAGCAAAUCUCAAACAACAACAGAAAAACAACGGAUACAUGCAUCUAAUACAACAGAACAAUCAAUGAAGUAGUUAAAAUAAUGAACGAAGCAGUAAAAUAUGCGAACUAAACAUAAGAAGCAUAGUAAGCGAGCAAGCAAGCGAGCAUAUGUGAACUCGGCAUAAGCAAAGCAGAGCAGAAGCGAAUAACCAACAAAACCUUCAAAAACCUCAACGUCAAACAUACAGCGAGGCAACCAAGCAGCAGAAAUGAAUAGUAAAGAGUAUUUAAUAUUUAGCACUAGCACACAAUAUAAUCACAUCGUUCAAGAUAAAUUCAAAAUGAACUAUAAAAUUGGAAUGAAAAUGAAGAUGAACCAAGGAUGUAAAAGGUAAAGUAAAGAUGCCAGACAACAGAUAGCAAAUGCCAGUAGGGAGAAGAAGUAAAACAUAGAAUGCUGAUAAUUAUUGUCAGUAAAAGGUAAAGUAUAGUAUAAAAUAUAAUCAGAAACAGCGGAUUCUGAUGUGAAGUAGGCACACGCAUCACCACAAAAUGAAGAAACAAGAUCACCAAAAAGAGAGGGUGACUGAAGGAAAAUUACAAAUAAUAAGAAGGGAACUGAGGGCUUGCAUGAAAUGCUCAAACCAGCGAAGCUGAGAAUCCGUCCUGAGAGGCCUAGAUAACCAAGAUAAUGUGAAUUAAAGUCAAUUAAGAUUAUUUAAACUACUAGACUGUGCCACGUGUAACGAAGCAACCCUACAAUGAACAGACGUACUUGGAAGACGAUCAACAUAAAAUUGAGCAGGCCUAUUGGUGACGCUAACGCCAAACAUCAAAUACAAAUACAAUACAUAAUACAUUCUUGUCACAUUAAUUCAUGGGAAAAGUACCAUAUCUUC